GAUGAACGCUGGCGGCGUGCUUAACACAUGCAAGUCGAACGGAAAGGCUCCUGCUUGCAGGGGUACUCGAGUGGCGAACGGGUGAGUAACACGUGGGUGAUCUGCCCUGCACUUCGGGAUAAGCCUGGGAAACUGGGUCUAAUACCGGAUAGGACCACAUUUUGGAUGGUGUGGUGGAAAGUUUUUCGGUGUGGGAUGAGCUCGCGGCCUAUCAGCUUGUUGGUGGGGUAAUGGCCUACCAAGGCGUCGACGGGUAGCCGGCCUGAGAGGGUGUACGGCCACAUUGGGACUGAGAUACGGCCCAGACUCCUACGGGAGGCAGCAGUGGGGAAUAUUGCACAAUGGGCGCAAGCCUGAUGCAGCGACGCCGCGUGGGGGAUGACGGCCUUCGGGUUGUAAACUCCUUUCGCUAGGGACGAAGCGUUUUUGUGACGGUACCUGGAGAAGAAGCACCGGCGAACUACGU
rnacentral:rRNA from 1 species